rnacentral:lncRNA from 1 species
AAAAAAAAAAAAAAAAAAAAGAAAAAAAAAGAGAAAAAGUAUAAUAAGAAAAAGAGUGGAGUGAAGAAAAGGUGAAAAAAAACGUGUGGAGGGAAAAAAAAGAAAUGGAGAGUUAAAAAUAAAAUCAUCAUGAAUGUAAAAAAAUGUCUUAAAAGAGUUUUUGAGAAGUAUGAUAAGAGAGUGGAGUUUGAGGAAUAGUUAUAUAAUUAGAAGUCAUAUUUUGAAAGGAAAAAAAUAAUAUUUAGUGAAAAUACUAGAUGUUUUGAGAUGGUGGUAUAGACAUAUAAAUAUCUCAUUUUGAUUUUAACAAAAUAUUUUUGAAGGAACAAGAAAAAAUGUUAAAAAAUAAUGAAGAUGAUGCUAAAAUUAUUAAAGAUGAUUUUCAAUGGAUGAAUAAGGUCAGGCACGAGUAUCGAUAAAUUCAAUUAAAAGUUCAACUGUUGAUCCUGAUUUAUCAAACAGAGUACGCCGCCUGUAGCACGGUUGGGAGUUAAUAAUUUUGAUCUAGUUCCAUCCGUACCAUCUGAUUACAAAGAAGUUCUAAAUGUG